rnacentral:rRNA from 1 species
AUUGAACGCUGGCGGCAGGCUUAACACAUGCAAGUCGAGCGAGCGGCGGACGGGUGAGUAAUGUCUGGGAAACUGCCUGAUGGACGGGGAUAACUACUGGAAACGGUAGCUAAUACCGCAUACCAUCAGAUGUGCCCAGAUGGGAUUAGCUAGUGGGUGGGGUAAUGGCUCACCUAGGCGACGAUCCCUAGCUUGUCUGAGAGGAUGAGCAGCCACACUGGACCUGGGACACGGACCAGACUCCUACGGGAGGCAGCGGGGGGGAAUAUUGCACAGUGGGCGAAAGCCUGAUGCAGCCAUGCCGCGUGUGUGAAGAAGGCCUUCGGAUUGUAAAGCACUUUCAGCGAGGAGGCGUUACUCGCAGUAAAAGCACCGGCUAACUCCGUGCCAGCAGCCGCGGUAAUUC